rnacentral:rRNA from 1 species
CCUACGGGAGGCAGCAGUGGGGAAUAUUGGACAAUGGGGCAACCCUGAUCCAGCCAUGCCGCGUGUGUGAAGAAGGCCCUCGGGUUGUAAAGCACUUUCAGUGAGGAAGAACGCCUGGUGGUUAAUACCCAUCAGGAAAGACAUCACUCACAGAAGAAGCACCGGCUAACUCCGUGCCAGCAGCCGCGGUAAUACGGAGGGUGCGAGCGUUAAUCGGAAUUACUGGGCGUAAAGCGCGCGUAGGUGGCUUGAUAAGCCGGUUGUGAAAGCCCCGGGCUCAACCUGGGAACGGCAUCCGGAACUGUCAAGCUAGAGUGCAGGAGAGGAAGGUAGAAUUCCCGGUGUAGCGGUGAAAUGCGUAGAGAUCGGGAGGAAUACCAGUGGCGAAGGCGGCCUUCUGGACUGACACUGACACUGAGGUGCGAAAGCGUGGGUAGCAAACAGGAUUAGAUACCCUUGUAGUC